GUCUAGGGGGUCUCAGGAAGGGUGGUUACCAGGGGAAGAUGGCCUAAUAUAGUCACCCAAUUAUUUCUGUGCCCUCAAGGAAGACACUGGCUCAGGAAUGAAGUCAGCUCUCCCAGAGGAACAGAGAAGCAUAACAGCAUCCAUUCACCACUGGAAAGUAACAAAGCAGUAACCCGAUAGAUGACAAAUAUCGCAAGCUUAAUGGCUGUUGUCCAUUCCUGAUGGGUCUCGGCACUCCGGGGGAGACUGGCACUGAAAGAUUACUGAGCAAACAGAGCACCUGAAAAACCUUGCACUCCACAGUCUGUCACCAGGGCUCUGAUCUAGGGCAUUACCUGCAAACGGCGGUUCUUAUCUGAAGCUGCAAACUGCCGCCACUACCAACAAUUCUCAAGAAAGACUGGCGGUCGUGAAAGGCUGAGCUACUGAGGCAGGCAGCUGGGGACGCCACCUCCAAUAGCCGAAGCCCUUUACGGAUCCCCUGAGACCAAGC
rnacentral:lncRNA from 1 species